CUAUCUAUCUAUCUAUCUAUCUAUCUAUCUAUCUAUCUAUCUAUCUAUCUAUCGUUCGCUCUUUCUUUCUUUCUUUCUCUCUUUCUUUCUUUUCUUUCCUUUUCUUUUUUUUUUUUUUUUUGGUUCUUUUUUUUCGGAGCUGGGGACCGAACCCAGGGCCUUGCGCUUCCUAGGUAAGCGCUCUACCACUGAGCUAAAUCCCCAGCCCCUUUUUCUUUCCUUUUCUUUUCUCUUCUUUCUUCCGUCUUUCUUUCUUUCCUUAAGUCCAUCACCUUGGAAGGUUCCUGUUUUGUUAUUGUUGUUUGGUUGUCUUUGCAGUGCUAGACAAGGAUGGUGGGGUCUCCCGCUGUUAGGAGAGUGGCCUAGCCUCAGCUACAGCACCAGCCCUCUUAGAAUGGCCUGCGUCUCUCCAUCAGACUUACUCCUCAUAUCCGUCCUGCCCCUCACAGUCUGCUGCCCAUCUGUGCGUGCGUGCACUGCUGUUCCUUUUGCUUGGUUUUGUUUGUGAUGCUGUGGGUGAGAGCUAGGUCCUUCUGCAUGCUAAGCAUGUGUUUUAUCAGUAGCAACCCCUUGGCCUCAUCUGAUCCUCUUUUUGCUAACAUUUAAGGAAUGUUAGUGGGAUUUUCUGGACGAGGACAUUGAGUCCCAGAGGGAGUAAAAUGCCAUCAAGUUGAGCAGAGCUAAUGGUCUCCUGGGCUUACCACUAAGGUCACCCCCAACCAGUUCUACGC
rnacentral:lncRNA from 1 species